rnacentral:rRNA from 1 species
UCUUCGGAUUCUGGUCUAGUGGCGAACGGCUGAGUAACACGUAAGUAACCUACCUCCAAGUGGGGGAUAACCUGUCGAAAGGCAGGCUAAUACCGUAUGUGGUAAUUGAGCAGUGCUUGAUUAUUAAAGCCUUAGGGCGCUUAGAGAUGGGCUUGCGUCUGAUUAGUUAGUUGGUAAGGUAAUGGCUUACCAAGGCGAUGAUCAGUAGCUGGCCUGAGAGGGUGGUCAGCCAGAUGGGGACUGAGAUACGGCCCCAACUCCUACGGGAGGCAGCAGCAAGGGAUAUUGGGCAAUGGGCGAAAGCCUGACCCAGCGACACCGCGUGAGGGAGGAAGGCCUUCGGGUUGUAAACCUCUUUUCUUGAGGAAGAAUUCUGACGGUACUCAAGGAAUAAGUCUCGGCUAACUACGUGCCAGCAGCCGCGGUAAUACGUAGGAGGCGAACGUUAUCCGAAUUUAUUGGGCGUAAAGAGAGCGUAGGCGGCUCUUUAAGUCAAGUGUAAAAUCUUUUGACUCAAUCAGAAGAUGCCGCUUGAUACUGGAGGGCUUGAGGGCAGCAGGAGGAGAUGGAAUUCCCAGUGUAGCGGUGAAAUGCGUUGAUAUUGGGAAGAACACCAGUGGCGAAAGCGAU